GAUGAACGCUGGCGGCGUGCCUAAUACAUGCAAGUCGAACGAAACUUCUUUAUCACCGAGUGCUUGCACUCACCGAUAAAGAGUUGAGUGGCGAACGGGUGAGUAACACGUGGGCAACCUGCCCAAAGGAGGGGGAUAACACUUGGAAACAGGUGCUAAUACCGCAUAACCAUAGUUACCGCAUGGUAACUAUGUAAAAGGUGGCUAUACUACCGCUUUUGGAUGGGCCCGCGGCGCAUUAGCUAGUUGGUAGGGUAAAGGCUUACCAAGGCAAUGAUGCGUAGCCGAAUUGAGAGGUUGGUCGGCCACAUGGGGACUGGGACACGGCCCAAACUCCUACGGGAGGCAGCAGUAGGGAAUCUUCCACAAUGGGCGAAAGCCUGAUGGAGCAACGCCGCGUGGGUGAAGAAGGUCUUCGGAUCGUAAAACCCUGUUGUUAGAGAAGAAAGUGCGUGAGAGUAACUGUUCACGUUUCGACGGUAACUAACCAGAAAGCCACGGCUAACUACGUG
rnacentral:rRNA from 1 species